rnacentral:rRNA from 1 species
UCUCUAAGGAAUUCGACAAAAUUGCCCCACAACUUUGGGAGAAGGGAGGCCUCUUCACAAAGGGGUUGUAGUGACUAGGUUUGGCUAAUUGUUUACCAAAAACACGUUUUCACAAAGUUGUAAGAUCAUGGGGUUAAAACCCCAAAUGGCCACUGAAAUUUGCCCCAAGUCCCCCAGGAGG